rnacentral:rRNA from 1 species
AUUGAACGCUGGCGGCAUGCCUUACACAUGCAAGUCGAACGGUAACAGGUCUUCGGAUGCUGACGAGUGGCGAACGGGUGAGUAAUACAUCGGAACGUGCCUAGUAGUGGGGGAUAACUACUCGAAAGAGUGGCUAAUACCGCAUGAGAUCUACGGAUGAAAGCAGGGGAUCGCAAGACCUUGUGCUACUAGAGCGGCCGAUGCCAGAUUAGGUAGUUGGUGGGGUAAAAGCUUACCAAGCCGACGAUCUGUAGCUGGUCUGAGAGGACGAUCAGCCACACUGGGACUGAGACACGACACAGACUCCUACGGGAGGCAGCAGUGGGGAAUUUUGGACAAUUGGAGAAUGCCUGCUCCAGCAAUGCCGCGUGCAGGAUGGAGGCCUUCGGGUUGUAAACUGCUUUUGUACGGAACGAAAAGCCCCGGGUUAAUACCCUGGGGUCAUGACGGUACCGUAAGAAUAAGCACCGGCUAACUACGUGCCAGCAGCCGCGGUAA